rnacentral:lncRNA from 1 species
UGCAGUUGUCGCCAAUCCGGAUCCGGAUUUGGAUCCGGAUUAGGAACAACAGGAUGCGAGUUGCAGGGAAACAUCAGAUCAGCAUGGAACGUCAGAGCGUCUUGGGACGGAUCAAGCAAAGCCAAUCAAGGGCCAGGCGAGGUAAGAAAGAUAACCGCGCCUAGCGAUGUUGACAUGCUGUCCCCCAGGGAUGCAUGUGCAUAGCGUAGCGGCCUUGGACCGUAACCAGGCAUCGGUUCGAUGCCGCUCUGCAAUACUUUCUCCCCCCUCUCUUCUCUCUCUUUCUCUCACUCUCUCCCCUUCCUACACCUUCACUCUCACUCCUAUCUGUUUUUGUUCAAGCUCUCUUACUGGACUCAUAAGCCUGGCGCAGCUGUCCACCAGCCUCUCAGAAACCUCCUCGUCCUCAUCUUCCGUCGGAAACCUCCUCCUUCCUCCUAGGAGCAUAUGCUCUUCGAGGCUCCAUUGAGCUUCCGAUGGCGAGCCCCGAUGACCCGACCCGAUCCGACCUUCAUCCAGGG